GCUUCAGUAGUUCAAAGGUAGAACAUACGAUUGAAACUCGUAGGAUUCUGGUUCGAUUCCAGGCUGAAGCAC
rnacentral:tRNA from 1 species